rnacentral:lncRNA from 1 species
AGCUGAGACAAGCAUGUCCCAGUAUAGACUGUGCAAGUGUCCUGUUCACGUGGCAUUCUUCCCAAAUUGACCAAUUGCCUGUCCCCCGACCUCUCCAAGGGUGGAGUGGGUGAAUGGGUGAAGAGAUGAGGGUGAAGAGACGCUCGAUGAGAAGAGUCCCAAGGAGAAGGGUCACAUCUGGUUUGUUCUUCUGCCUCUCCCCACGGCAUCUAGCAAAGAGCGCAUGUCAUCGGCGUUGGUAACCAACUCCAUAAAUAAUGUGGUGAAAAGGCAACGCAGGAGACAGAGCAGCAUGUCCAAGUCCGUUUCACAGUCCGCCGGCUGAGGGAGCACAGUCAAGCCUUUCAACCUCACCGAGCCUCAGCCCUCUUGUCUUUGCAAAGGUGGCCUUGAUUCAGUCCCUAUUUAUGCCAUAGGGUUGUUGUCGUGCUCAAAUGAGAGAGCCAACACGGAACGACUUAUCGUCUCAGCUAUAGACGUGCCACAUGGUUAUUAGGUCACGCUGGUCUGCCAGAGACAAUCCGCACGGAAAGUGGACAAGGGCAGCCAGCCCGGGCGACGCUGGCACUCCAGUUCUCCAGGGACAGGGUCUCGUGUUUAGGCCUUUGGGGGAACAUUUAAGCUAUGAGGCCGCAGAGCAGAGACGCUGCCAUUUUAUUUUAAGCACAGCAAUAAGCACAAUAAAAACAAGGCCUGCUGAAGGCCGGCGGCGAUGAAAUACUUCCUCAGAGGACAUUAAGGAGUCAGCCUCUUCCUUUCUCAGCAGUGUUUCUGUAAUGUCCUUUUUCCAUCUGUCCCUACCACCGAGACACUUGUUCACACCCGGCCUGUUUCCUGCCUGGAUCCCUGCCACCUCCCACUGCCUGACUUGCUAUCUCUUGCCUCCUGACCCCACUUCAGCGCCAGACGGUUCAGGAUGCCACUCCUCAAUUCAACUUGGAGUGGCUUCUGGGUUUCUGCACCACCUGCCUUUUCUGUUCUGAGGCGCAGAGAUCUUCUUAAAAAUCACCUUUCAAUGUC